UAAUUCUGUCUUGUUCUGAUUAUCCUCAGGAGAAAUACUUUGCAAUUUACAUAUCCUGAAACUAAAAUCUGCAAUAUAGUCUAAAAGGUAUCUAGAAGCAAUUUGCUGUAUAUUUCUUUUCCUUGCCUAAGACAGGAACUCUCACAGGGCAAAUUCUCCUGAGUGGAAAAGGUAAUAUCAUUGAAACUAAUGAUAUACAGCUACUUCAAUAGUUAACAAGCAUGUAUGAGAUAUUCAUUGUUUAUAUUGUUGAACCUUUAGGACAAGUAAUCAAAGCAGGACUAUAAGGACAAAUGAAAUCAGUGAAAACAGUGCAAAGGAAGUAUGGGAUUAUCAUUAAUAUAAACUCACCAAGCAGACGAAUUCUAAGGGGAGAACAUAACAAUGCAAUUGCAAAAUUCACGUGCAAAGAUGACUACCUGGUGCUUUGCCUCUCUUUUUUUUAGUGAUUUCAGAAUGUCCAAAUGCCUCCUAAAUGUCAGGAAAUACCUCCUAAACAGAAGGCAAUGUUUGAGUGGCGCCUUUCAUAAAAAGUCAUAUUAUUAUAACCUGAAUGGAUAUGGGAUAUGUUUCUACUCAAAUUUCAGGUAGAGGUACUCACCAUUGUAGAAGGAUUACUAUUGCUAGUUCUUUGACUACUUAAAUGAAUUAAAUGUACAUAAAACACCAGGAUAGCAUAGCACCUAGCACAUAAUUGGAGCUUGUGAAAUAGCAGUUCCUGUUUUCCAUUUUAACAAUUUUACUUUUUUUCUCCCAGGAUUUGGAUGUAGCUUUGCCCAUUAUCAAGAAUUAUAAGGAUCAAUUGUUGGCAAUUGGAGAGGUUGGACUAGAUUUCUCCCUGAGAUUUGCUGGCACUGAUGAACAGAGGGAAGAGCAAAGA